rnacentral:tRNA from 1 species
CGGGGCGUAGCGCAGUCUGGUAGCGCAUCUGCUUUGGGAGCAGGGGGUCAGAGGUUCAAAUCCUCUCGCCCCGA